rnacentral:rRNA from 1 species
CUGUGAAACAAGAUACAGGCUAGCGGCGGACGGGUGAGUAACACGUGGGUAACCUGCCCAAGAGAUCGGGAUAACACCUGGAAACAGAUGCUAAUACCGGGUAACAACAGAUGAUGCCUAUCAACUGUUUAAAAGAUGGUUCUGCUAUCACUCUUGGAUGGACCUGCGGUGCAUUAGCUAGUUGGUAGGGUAACGGCCUACCAAGGCGAUGAUGCAUAGCCGAGUUGAGAGACUGAUCGGCCACAUUGGGACUGAGACACGGCCCAAACCCCUACGGGAGGCAGCAGUAGGGAAUCUUCCACAAUGGACGCAAGUCUGAUGGAGCAACGCCGCGUGAGUGAAGAAGGGUUUCGGCUCGUAAAGCUCUGUUGUUGGUGAAGAAGGACAGGGGUAGUAACUGACCUUUGUUUGACGGU